rnacentral:rRNA from 1 species
CCUGGCUCAGGACGAACGCUGGCGGCGUGCUUAACACAUGCAAGUCGAACGAUGAAGCCUGCAACUUGUUGUGGGUGGAUUAGUGGCGAACGGGUGAGUAAUACGUGGGUAACCUGCCCUCCUUUUUGGGAUAAGCCUUGGAAACGGGGUCUAAUACCGAAUAUUCUGGCGCUCUCGCAUGGGGGUGUUGGGAAAGCUUUUGUGUGAAGGGGGAUGGGCUCGCGGCCUAUCAGCUUGUUGGUGGGGUGAUGGCCUACCAAGGCGGUGACGGGUAGCCGGCCUGAGAGGGUGACCGGCCACAUUGGGACUGAGAUACGGCCCAGACUCCUACGGGAGGCAGCAGUGGGGGAUAUUGCACAAUGGGCGAAAGCCUGAUGCAGCGACGCCGCGUGGGGGAUGAAGGCUUUCGGGUUGUAAACCUCUUUCGCUAUCGAACAAGGCCCNCUUAGGGUGGGUUGAGGGUAGGUGGAGAAGAAGCGCCGGCUAACUACGUGCCA